rnacentral:ncRNA from 1 species
AAAUUAAUGAUUUAAGUCCUUAUUAAAUGAGGGCCAUUUACCCAUUAGAGGGUGCCAGGCCCCGUAUAACUUAAUGAUUGCUAGAUGAUGUUUCCAAAGAGUCGUGUUGCUUGAUAGUGCAGCACUAAGUGGGUGUAAACUCCAUCUCAAACUAAAUAUAACCAUGAGACCGAUAGUAAACAAGUACCGUGAGGGAAAGUUGAAAAGAACUCUGAAUAGAGAGUUAAACAGUACGUGAAACUGCUUAGAGGUUAAGCCCGAUGAACCUGAAUAUCCGUUAUGGAAAAUUCAUCAUUAAAAUUGUAAUAUUUAAAUAAUAUUAUUAAGAAUAAUGUGCAUUUUUUCCAUAUAAGGACAUUGUAAUCUAUUAGCAUAUCCCAAAUUUAUCAUAAAAUAUAACUUAUAGUUUAUUCCAAUUAAAUUGCUUGCAUUUUAACACAGAAUAAAUGUUAUUAAUUUGAUAAAGUGCUGAUAGAUUUAUAUUAUUACAGAGCGUUAAUUUUUCGGAAUUAUAUAAUGGCAUAAUUAUCAUUGAUUUUUGUGUUUAUUAUAUGCUCUUAUAUGAUUAACAAUGCGAAAGAUUCAGGAUACCUUCGGGACCCGUCUUGAAACACGGACCAAGGAGUCUAACAUAUGUGCAAGUUAUUGGGAUGUAAACCUAAUAGCGUAAUUAACUUGACUAAUAAUGGGAUUAGUUUUUUAGCUAUUUAUAGCUAAUUAACACAAUCCCGGGGCGUUCUAUAUAGUUAUGUAUAAUGUAUAUUUAUAUUAUUUAUGCCUCUAACUGGAAUGUACCUUGAGCAUAUAUGCUGUGACCCGAAAGAUGGUGAACUAUACUUGAUCAGGUUGAAGUCAGGGGAAACCCUGAUGGAAGACCGAAACAGUUCUGACGUGCAAAUCGAUUGUCAGAAUUGAGUAUAGGGGCGAAAGACCAAUCGAACCAUCUAGUAGCUGGUUCCUUCCGAAGUUCCCUCAGGAUAGCUGGUGCAUUUUAAUGCAGCAUAAAAUA